rnacentral:rRNA from 1 species
UACGUAGGUUGCGAGCGUUGUUCGGAAUCAUUGGGCGUAAAGGGUUCGUAGGGGGCCCGCCAAGUCUGGUGUGAAAUCCCGAAGCUCAACUUCGGAACUGCAUUGGAAACUGGCGGGCUUGAGCGUCGGAGAGGGGAGUGGAAUUCCUGGUGUAGCGGUGGAAUGCGUGGAUAUCAGGAAGAACACCGAGAGCGUAGGCAGCUCCCUGGACGACGGCUGACCCUGAGGAACGAAAGCGUGGGGAGCAAACAGG